rnacentral:lncRNA from 1 species
GAAUUUUUUUUUUUGGUUAGAUAGUACAUUAUAAUUUGUUUGAUGUAUAUAUCAUGCAAUUUUCCUAAAUCACAUCUCUUCUUUAUAGGGUUUAUUUAUGAAAUAGCUAAAAAUAAAAGGAAAUUGGUUUUGUAGAAUGAAGGCAGAGAGAGAUAGGAAGAAAAAAAGAGGUGAGAGAGUGUUAUAUUGUUACUUUCCUCUCUUUUUUUUGUGGUUGUUUGGAGGUAUAUAACCCUUUUUAAAUAUUAACCUCCAUCUUUGUUUAAUCUUAUAAAAUCUAAAACUAUGCACAUCAUCGUUCCUUUUUUUUUGUAACUGACACAUCAUCGUUCCUUUCUCUGUCUUUUUUUUUUUCUAAUUUCCUUUCUUUGUUUUUGUAUUCGCAAGUUCUUGACAAAACAAAACAUUUUUUUUUGGUUUAAUAACGGAAUAUGCUUAUUUUAAUAUUGAUUGUGAUGCAAAGGAAUCGAAAAUCAACUGCCAAUCAAAACUUCGAGAACACUGUCUAAGAAAACGAUAACAUAAUGAAAAUAUUUAUAUUUUAAUAAUCCCUUGUGGCAAAAGCAAAUAUUGCAAGAGCAAUCUGGAGAAGAC